CCGGGCUGCUGGGGACCUGGGCUUCCGGGUGGAGAGCGACCAAGUCCUUUUAUCCAAAGCGGCCCCUGAUCUUGGGACCAGAGAGGCGUGCCUACGUCCAGCUAGACCAGGUAGAACCUAGCCUGAGCACCUCCUGUGAGUAUCCUGCAGCCCAGAGCCAGUGACAUUGCUGUGAAAAGCUGUGACCUUUGCCCAAGAUGGCAGAGACUAAAGACCCCGUUCGGCUUCGGCUGCUCAGCCUGGAGCUGAUGAAGCAGCUGUGGGCUGGGCAUGAUGCCAUGUGCCGGUCAGUGGCCAGAGUAGUGUCAAAGUCACACCUGGACUAUAGCAGCAGCAGCAGCGGCAACUUAGAAAUGCCACUGUCCCAAGAGAGUUCUUCCACCGCCUCAGUGGCCCCAAGCUCCCAGGACCCACUAGACAGUCAUCGAGGAGACACAUUUGACAUGACCCAGUAUGGCAAGGACAGCUGCAGAGCGGACUCUCUCCCACCUGCCACAUGCCAGCACCCAGAGCUCCAGGAUGGACUGUGGCCUCCCUCAGUACCCUGGCUAGCCACUGAAGGCCUGAAGGGGCCAGUGCCUUUGGUAGGACCAAAAGGUCCGGGACCUCACAAGCCACAGGUCCCAAAAUCCAUCCUGUCACAACCAAGCAAGCCAUCUAAGCCCAAAGUGACCUUCUCCCAAGAGUCUACAGUGCCUGAGAGUGACUGGCACUUCCGGCCAUACCUGAGCUAUGAUUGGGUUGCAGGGACCCUGGACAGUAGCUCUACGGUCACCAGCGAACCCGAGGCCUUCUUCUCCACACUUCAGAGGUUUCGAGAAACCAACGAAGAGGACUGUGUUUGCAACUCCCCUGAAGCUGUGUUCCCAGACCUGCAAGAGAGCAGUGGUGUAGAAGAGGACCACGAGUGUGUGUACUGUUACCGUAUCAACCGGCGCCUGUUUCCUGUGCCAGUGGACCCAGGUACCCCUUGCCGCCUGUGUGGGGUACCCCGAGACCAACAGGGCCCUGAGACUCUGAUGGAGCCUGCUCAAGUCAGGGUCAGCAUCCCCCUAUCCAUCCUGGACCCCCCACACCGGUAUCGAAUUCACAGACGGAAAAGCUUUGAUGCAUCUGACACUCUGGCUCUGCCUCGGCACUGUCUGCUGGGCUGGGACAUCCUCCCUCCAAAGCCUGAGAAAAGCUCUGUCCCCAAGAGUCUUGACCUGUGGUCCUCUGUUUCCUGUGGAGCGCAGCGCCAACAUCUGUCAGCCACCAGCUCAUCCCGUGGGGCCUUGCCAACACGGGUCCCACCACCCAUCUGGUCAGAGCCUCAGGUUGCCCAGCUCCGCUCCCCCAACUAGAAGCGCUGUGGACUGACCACUCAGAAGGGACAAUAUGGAAGCCCUCAAGAUGAGGCUGGAUCCUGACAAGAUGGAAGUGGCUGUGCUGUGUGUCGUGGGCUGGGCAGAUGCGAGGGUCCAGGCGUGGCCCUGGCCCUUCUGCCUCCUGGGGUGCAUUGGUGUUCUGCCUGCAUGUAUGUCUGUGUGAGGAUAUCAGAUCCCUUGGAACUAGAGUUACAGACAGUUGUGAGCUGCCACGUGGGUGCUCGGAAUUGAACCAGUGUCCUCAGAAAGAGCACCCGAUGCUCUUAACCUCUGAGGCAUCUCUCCAGCCUCCAGCAUUGGCCUUGAAGUCCUGAUCCUCCUUCCUCUCCCUCUCCAGUGCCAGGAUACAGGUGUGUGCUUCACCAGAUCUCUUCCGUUUUUUACUCCUGUCCCUCCUGAGUGCAUAUGUAGCAUGAAAUACACGAUUAUUGACUUCUUCUAAGACAAGUAUUCUAUGAUGCUCUGAUGUUCUGGGAAUUCACAUUUUGGCCCAGCCCCAGGUCCGCCUCGGCCUUGUUCUUGGCUUGCUCUGAGCAUUUCAGCCCAAAUGGAGAAAACAGAGCAUGGCUUCAGAAACACCCCUCCCAGUGUUGUGACCUCUGGUCUACUGUGUGACCUCUUGACCUGGCUUUCAUCACCUAGAAAACUGUGACAAUGCCAAUAAGAGGUAAAGGGGACAAUACAGCCACCCAGGGUGCUGCAGAUUUUAUCCCAUGUAGUGUCUGGAUGGUUUACCCUCAUGGUCUCGGCUGGGAUCUGAGCUGGGGUCUCCCUCCAGCAUCAAGAAUGAGGAUCCGGCCACGUCGUACCAGCCCAUGGAAAAGUCAAGAUACGACCAAGGUGUGGAUGGCUUCUAUGGGAUUCCUGUGAAAGCAUUGUAGGUUGUAAGUUGAACCACAGUAAGUAGGGGAUGUUUGCACCAGGGAGACAUUAAGGAUCUCCUCCUCAGUUUUUCCUGUCCUCUGCUCUAGCCUGUACUAACACCAGGAUCAUCCUGAAAAGGGUAAGGUGCUGAAUUUACUCUUGUUCAGCCUUCCCAGGCAUUUUGCCUUUGCCUGUCUGGGAACACACAUGGGAUGCAUCUUCUUACCUGUUAGGUCUCAAACUUGGGGAAAAUGGCCGAGGUGCCUAUUUAACACAUCAGAGCAGAUCUGGCUGCCAGGUUCUCUCAGCAUCCCUCAGUUCCUACCUGAUACAGGGUAUGGCUGGCACACCUGCCCUCUACCCUGAACUCUCCAGCCCAGGGACUGGACUGCCCUUCCCCAGAGGCUCUUCCUUUUAUAAACCAAAUUUUACCCACCCCUUUUGUACCUUUGGCCUCCUGACUGCUGUACGUGACCCCCCACCCCCACCCGAACCUUCCCAUCCGUACCCCACUCCAUCUUCCCACAUGGGUCAGCUCAGCC